rnacentral:rRNA from 1 species
AACGAACGCUGGCGGCGUGCCUAACACAUGCAAGUCGAACGGAUCCUUCGGGACUAGUGGCGGACGGGUGAGUAACACGUGGGAACGUGCCCUUUGGUUCGGAACAACUCAGGGAAACUUGAGCUAAUACCGGAUGUGCCCUUCGGGGAAAGAUUUAUCGCCAUUGGAGCGGCCCGCGUCUGAUUAGCUAGUUGGUGAGGUAAAGGCUCACCAAGGCGACGAUCAGUAGCUGGUCUGAGAGGAUGAUCAGCCACACUGGCACUGAGAUACGGGCCAGACUCCUACGGGAGGCAGCAGUAGGGAAUAUUGGUCAAUGGAUGCAAGUCUGAACCAGCCAUGCCGCGUGCAGGAAGAAGGGCCUUCUGGUGUAACUGCUUUGCCAGGGGAUAAAAUUUCCAUGCGUGGAAACUGAAGGUACCUGGUGAAUAAGCCACGGCUAACUACGUGCCAGCAGCCGCGGUAA